GGGGGGGGGGGGGGGGGGGGGGGGGGGGGGGAGGGGGGGGGGGGGGGGGGGGGGGGUGCUCUUGUUGGGGGAGUGGCGGACGGGUGAGUAACGCGUAGGUAACCUGCCUUGUAGCGGGGGAUAACUAUUGGAAACGAUAGCUAAUACCGCAUAACAAUGGAUGACACAUGUCAUUUAUUUGAAAGGGGCAAUUGCUCCACUACAAGAUGGACCUGCGUUGUAUUAGCUAGUAGGUGAGGUAAUGGCUCACCUAGGCGACGAUACAUAGCCGACCUGAGAGGGUGAUCGGCCACACUGGGACUGAGACACGGCCCAGACUCCUACGGGAGGCAGCAGUAGGGAAUCUUCGGCAAUGGGGGCAACCCUGACCGAGCAACGCCGCGUGAGUGAAGAAGGUUGUCGGAUCGUAAAGCUCUGUUGUAAGUCAAGAACGGGGGUGAGAGUGGAAAGUUCACACUGUGACGGUAGCUUACCAGAAAGGGACGGCUAACUACGUG
rnacentral:rRNA from 1 species